rnacentral:piRNA from 1 species
UCCUCAUUUUGGCUUAUGAGUCCCUGCAGGA